AUGACGACGACAGAGGGUCUGGUGCCGAUCACGCGGGACUACCUCGCGCGCUACUACGACAAGUACCCGCUGCCCCCGAUCCCCGACGGCGUAACCGCCCUCUCUGCCCGCCUCCGCGCUCUGUCCGCCGAACUCGCCGCCGCUUCUCCCUUCUCCCCCGAGGAGGAGCACUUGAAACAAGAGGCAUCUGGUGUACCUGCCCAUAAAAUAGAUGAGAACAUGUGGAAGAACAGAGAACAGAUGGAAGAGAUUCUGUUUCUGCUUAAUAAAUCUCGUCGUCCAGUUGCUCUUCAACAGAAGUCCACACCAGAAGACGCUGAGAUAGUUUCCACACUUGAUGAUUGUGAAACUAAAUUGAAAGAGAUGUUGAAGAAGUUAGAACAGUUUCAGCUAAAAAAUGCCGAUAAUGUUUUCAAUACAGUUAUGACAUACAUGCCACAAGACUUCCGUGGUACACUGAUCAGGCAACAGCGAGAACGCUCUGAGAGAAAUAAGCAAGCGGAGGUUGAUGCUGUAGUUAGUGCUGGUGGAAGCAUUCAUGAUAGAUACGCAUUGCUAUGGAAGCAGCAAAUGGAUAGGCGGGUGCAAUUAGCGCAGCUUGGUUCUGCAACAGGUGUAUAUAAGACACUUGUUAGGUACUUGGUUGGUGUUCCACAGGUGUUAUUGGAUUUUAUUCGACAAAUAAAUGAUGCUAAUGGACCUAUGGAAGUGCAAAGAGAGCGCUAUGGGCCAGCACUAUACACACUUACAAAACUGGUGCUUGCAGUUCGGUUAUAUCUACAUCUCUCUUUGGCACGAUAUGGACAGAAGAAAAUAGGGAAGGAUGACAUUGCUGUGUUGCAGCAGGCAGUGGUUAUAUACACCGAGGAAUUUGGGAAGUUCACUACAUUCAUCGGUGAGGUUUUUGUGAAUGCCCCAUUCUUCAUAUCUGCUGAGGAUGCAGGUGCUGAUUCGAGGAAAAACGAUGAGUACCGAGAAACCAUUAUUCCAGCGGGAAAGACACAUGAGGUUAUUUUAAGUGUUGAAGCUGUCAACUCAUAUAUUGCAUGGGAUUUCUCAUUGCAACAAGGGGCCCUCAGCACACUGCUGGAUAUUGGCUUUCAUGUGGAGUACAUAAGCCCGUCACGGGAGAAAACGUUGAUUCUUCCCUACCGACGGUAUGAAGCUGACCAAGGUAACUUUUGCACUGUUUUCGCUGGAUCGUACAAGCUUGUAUGGGACAACUCAUAUUCAACAUUCUUCAAAAAGACCCUCCGGUACAAGGUGGAUGCAGUGCCUCCGGUUGUAACCGAGACAGAGUAG
rnacentral:rRNA from 1 species